UAAUCCCAGAGGAAUAGAAUAACUGGGCAUAUACCUUACUUUCUUAAAGAAAAUAAUGAAUGCAGUCCUUUUUGUAGUUGGCAAGGGACUGGAAACUGACUGGAUGCCCUUCAGUUGAAGAAUGACUAAAUAAAUUAUGGUACGUGAAUGUUAUGGAAUAUUAUUGUUCUAUAAGAAACAAUCAGCAGGAUGAUUUCAGAAAAGCCUGGAGAGACUUAAUGAACUGAUGUGAGUGAAGUGAGUAAAACCAAGAGAACAUCGUACACAGUAAUAACAAGAUUAUGUGAUGAUCAACUCUAAUGGACAUGGCUCUUUUCAACAAUGAGUUGAUUCAGAUUUGAAGAAACUGAGGCAAACAGAUAUCAAAUGACUUGCCUGGGACCACUCAUCUGAAAGGCCUGGAGAGACUAACAGGAACUGAUACUGAGUGAAAUGAGCAGGGCCAGGAGAUCAUUAUAUACUUCAACAGCACUACUAUAUGAUGAUCAAUUCUGAUGGACCUGGCCAUCCUCAGCAAUGAGAUGAACCAAAUCAGUUCUAAUGGAGCAGUAAUGAACUGAACCAGCUACGCCCAGAGAAAGAACUCUGGGAGAUGACUAAGAACCAUUACAUCGAAUUCCCAAUCCCUGUAUUUUUGCCCACCUGCAUUUUGGAUUUCCUUCACA
rnacentral:lncRNA from 1 species